rnacentral:rRNA from 1 species
UACGGGGGGGGGCAAGCGUUGUUCGGAAUUACUGGGCGUAAAGGGCUCGUAGGCGGCCAACUAAGUCGGACGUGAAAUCCCUCGGCUUAACCGGGGAACUGCGUCUGAUACUGGAUGGCUUGAGUUCGGGAGAGGGAUGCGGAAUUCCAGGUGUAGCGGUGAAAUGCGUAGAUAUCUGGAGGAACACCGGUGGCGAAGGCGGCAUCCUGGACCGACACUGACACUGAGGAGCGAAAGCCAGGGGAGCAAACGGG